rnacentral:rRNA from 1 species
GUCCAGACUCCUACGGGAGGCAGCAGUGGGGAAUAUUGCGCAAUGGGGGCAACCCUGACGCAGCAACGCCGCGUGAUUGAAGAAGGCCUUCGGGUUGUAAAGAUCUUUAAUCAGGGACGAAAAAUGACGGUACCUGAAGAAUAAGCCCCGACUAACUACGUGCCAGCAGCCGCGGUAAUACGUAGGGGGCAAGCGUUAUCCGGAUUUACUGGGUGUAAAGGGAGCGUAGACGGCAGCGCAAGUCUGGAGUGAAAUGCCGGGGCCCAACCCCGGAACUGCUUUGGAAACUGUGCAGCUCGAGUGCAGGAGAGGUAAGCGGAAUUCCUAGUGUAGCGGUGAAAUGCGUAGAUAUUAGGAGGAACACCAGUGGCGAAGGCGGCUUACUGGACUGUAACUGACGUUGAGGCUCGAAAGCGUGGGGAGCAAACAGGAUUAGAUACCCUAGUAC